rnacentral:ribozyme from 1 species
GGAGGCGAUGGGAAAAAGUUUGCGAACGGCUCCAACCAGAAGAGGGUGUCGAAGUCGGAGCCGGAG